rnacentral:rRNA from 1 species
GAUGGGAGCUUGCUCACUGGGUGACGAGCGGCGGACGGGUGAGUAAUGUCUGGGAAACUGCCUGAUGGAGGGGGAUAACUACUGGAAACGGUAGCUAAUACCGCAUAACGUCGCAAGACCAAAGAGGGGGACCUUCGGGCCUCUUGCCAUCAGAUGUGCCCAGAUGGGAUUAGAUAGUAGGUGGGGUAAUGGCUCACAUAGGGGAGGAUCCGUAGUUGGUUUGAGAGGAUCACCAGCCACACGUGGAACUCAGACACGGUCCAGACUCCUCAGGGAGGCAGCAGUGGGGGAUAUCGCACAAUGGGCGCAAGCCUGAUGCAGCCAUGCCGUGUGUGGAAGAAUGCAUUC